rnacentral:rRNA from 1 species
GACGAACGCUGGCGGCGUGCCUAAUACAUGCAAGUAGGACGCAGUUGCGAACGGGGGAGUAACGCGUAGGUAACUACCUAUUAGAGGGGGGUAACUAUUGGAAACGAUAGCUAAUACCGCAUACUAGUAGAUGGACCUGCGUUGUAUUAGCGAGUAGGUAGGGUAAUGGCCUACCUAGGCAACGAUACAUAGCCGACCUGGGAGGGUGGUCGGCUAAACUGGGACUGGGACACGGCCCAGCAUCCCACGGGAGGCAGCCGUAGGGAAUCUUCGGCAAUGGGGUGAACCCUGACCGAGCAACGGCGCGUGAGUGAAGAAGGUUUUCGGGUCGUAAAACUCUGUUGUUAAGGAAGCGGUACUUAACCAGAAAGGUACGGCUAACUACGUGCCAGCAGCCGCGGUAAUAC